rnacentral:lncRNA from 1 species
UUCUGAACUAGUUAUUAUAUAUCCUUUUAUCAUCUUGAUAAUCUUGUGAUGUGGGAAGAUUAUCACCUUAUACAAUUGGAUCACAUACCUAAAAAUAGAUGUAAGACCAAAAGCUACAAACCCCAGUUCGUUUUCUUUUCUCCUAAAAUAUAGGGAAAGGGCCUGAAAACUAUCUUGGGGGAAGAAAAUGAAAAGAGAUCUUUUCAAACAUGCAAGUGAUGCAAACAAAACAAUGAGGAACCACACAAUUACCAUGCAAUCAUCUCUCUUGGGUGAGGAAUAGAUUGCCAACCUGCACAGAUUUGGACAACUUGUUUCAGAGAAUCUGAAGGAGCUUCCAAUGUCCAUAUUGGAUAAUAUUCACUUGGAUGAAACACACAUUCUUCACCUACACCUGUUAAUAAGCAUGCCUGAGCUCCAUUAAGGAAUACAUCUCCUUCGGAUCUUAUUAAACCAGACCUCGCCUCUUCCUUGUCUGCUGCCUGCAAAACCAUCAGAAUGGCAACAUUUCAGAAAUAUAUGUCGUACAUAUGUUAAUAGCCAUUAAGGUUAGAAGUUGUAAUGAAAAACAUAAUGCAAAUAUUCAUAUAAUGUUUUUGAUAUAAAAGUUGUCACAAUGUGUAUGACAUUAAUUACUUUAGUGACAGAGUACCCAACCAGAACUCGAAAUCCAAAAGCCAGAACCUGAAACCCAAGAGGUCAGAACCCAACCAAAAGACGUCCUAAUUCAACUAUAAGUCCCUAUCAAAUAGAGACUCAAACGGAGUCGAACAUGGAGUUCUUAUCCUACCAAAUCUCUAUUAAAUCUCCAAACCUUAUCAGGAUUAGACUUUCAACAGUUAUAAACUCCUAGGUAUGCAUUUAUAUCAUUGUUCACCCUUUUCAUUGUUCACCCUUUUCGCUAAUUACAUCUUUAAACCGAUUAUUGACUUAAGUAUCAGAGGUUAUACCAAACAAACCACCCAGUGCUUUACUUAGUUUGCAUAUCUGAACCUAUCAAAGGAGCUGGUGCAAUGUCAUUUAGCUUUAGAAAAGCUAUCCAUGUCUGUGCAUCUUUCCUUUUUCUUUGGCCCUUUUUCAUUUUUUUAAUUUCGCUUGAGUUCUUGUUACUCAGAAAUUAAUCAACUGGAGUAUGAUUUUCCCAAAAGAAAUAUUAUUUACUAACAAAUUGCUUUCACCAGAAAGUUGAACCGCAUAUGAUAUGAUCGGUGAUAUAUGUUUAUGCUACAUGCUAUAGUAUGGAAAUUCAUUACACAAAUAAACAAAAAAAAAAUACAGCUGAUAAUUUAAAUUGGCUACUUAAGAUAACCUAAAAUAUCCAACUCAAGUUAAAACCUA